rnacentral:lncRNA from 1 species
CGAGGACACACAGAGAAUAGCUGGGAUGAUAAGGACUUUGCCAAAAAGGGAGAGAUCUUGUAAGUACGUGAUCUUGGAGUCAAACCUAUUCCAAGCAGGUUUGAUCCUAGCUCGGUCCUCAGAUCUAGCAUCGAUCGGGGCAUCGUCAUCCGCCCCAGAUGAACCAGGUGGGUCUUUAUUUGAUUUAUUAUUUAUUUUGUUAUAUUUUUAUCGUAUGAGACGCUGAGUGUGGUUUUUGUAUCUUUUAGCCCAAGAGCCGGAGAUGCUGGGCUACAAAGCAGUCGUUGCAGCCAGGGCGAAGAAGAGGAAAGUUCCAAGCCUAGCUGAGACUCCCUCAGAGGAGACGGAGGAAGUUCAACCUUUAAAAAGAAACCAAUCUAGGACUCCGGCUCUGGUCGUGAGCCAUGAGGCAACUCCUUUGUCGAUGUUUGUUUCUUCUCCUACAGCCCCCAUUACUGUGGCUAUUGAUGCUUCUCUGUAGCUCCCACUCCUUUGCCAACCGUAUCUCCACUAGUUACUCCAGUUGUCGCUACUGCCAGUUCGAGCAAAAUGCCAGUACCUGACCUGUAGAGGCCGAGCCUGGAGGGUUUGAUGGGCUGCUGUCCUAAGAUUUUCCUAGACUUUCUCUAGGCUCCUUCGCCAUCGAUAGAGUCUAUCGCUGCAUUCCCUCAGCCCUUGAAGGACUUAGCUACCCGCCUCACUAGGAGCUGGGGUGAUAAUGAGCAAGGCUAUUUGGCCAAGAUGCCGCUACUGGGUGAGGCAAUUGUGGUUACACAGCCACACAGCCAUCGUUCUAUCCUUUAUAUGUCAGCAAUAGUGGAUAAGGUAAUUAAUUUGGGUGGUGUGAUUUUCCUAAGCUAUCAUUCGGUAUGUUUGGUUGUGAUUGUGUUCUUUCUUCCGUUGCAUCAGCUGAAGGUCGAGCUAGAUAAGUUGCCAGAGGCUAAAGAUCAAGCCUUAGGCCUGUUUGAGCGUAUCGAAGAGGAACGAGCUUAGUUUGCAACCAAGGAAAAAGAAUACGAGGACAAGCUCAAUAAGAUGGGUGUGGAGCUGGAUGCUAGCUUAUCUACCGAACUCAGACUCCGCGAAGAGAUUGAUACGCUGAGAGUCUAGGGGGACAGAGCUAAUAUGCGGGCGGAGAUGGAGAAGAAAAAUGCUGAAAAGGAGAGAGCUCGGGUGGAAGAGGAAAGAGCUACGUUGUCGAGGCUGUGGAAAAGGCUGAGGAAGCCAACUUGAGGGCGAUGGCGGCAACACGAAGAGCUAAGAAGGUCGAGGCCAAAGCCAUCAGAGCAGUAGAAAUCUGGAGAGAAUCUCCUAAGUUCGAUGCUUUGGCCCAAGACGUAUACGUUGUGGCCUUAGAGGAGUUGACGAAGCAUAUCCGUAGAGAGAGGCUGAACUUCGACACUGUAUUUUUGGAGAAAUCUCUGGAAGGGCAGAAGGAGCUAUAGAGGUUAUCCGAAGCUGCAGGAGUUCGGAUACUUUGUACCUAAGACUUUGCACCUUUGAUGUUCGAUUUCUUCUUCCUUUUUUUUGAAAUUAUUUGACAAUGCUUUUGGUUAUAAGGAGAUUUGUUUUGACUUUAUUGAACGCUUUAACUGUUGUAUUGGGUGAACUACUUCUCUUUGAAUGAUAUUGGGAUAGUUCUACUAGCUUUGACGUGAUUGUAGUUGCGGGAUUCCUUAAGAGGAAUAUCGUAACACACACGACCUUAGAUCGGCUUGCAUAAGGAGCAGGGUUUUUAAUAAUCCCUUAGGAGGAAUUUCAUCCAAGUGUUGUAGUACAUACAACCUCAGAUUAGUCUGCACAGGAACAAGGCUUUUAGUAAUCCCUUAGGAGGAAUUUCGUCCAAAUGUCGUAACACAUACAACCUCAAAUCAGCCUGCACAAGGAGUAGGGAUUUUAGUAAUCCAUUAGGAGAAAUUUCUCCAUUGACCUACACAAGGAGCAGGGCUUUUAGUAAUUCCUUAGGAGGAAUUUCGUCCAAGUGUCGUAGCACAUACAACCUCAGAUUGGCCUGCCUAAGGAGUAGGAAUUUUAGUAAUCCCUUAGGAGGAAUUUCGUCCAAGUGUCGUAGCACAUACGACCUCAAAUCAGCGUGCACAAGGAGCAAGGCUUUUAGUAAUCCCUUAGGAGAAAUUUCGUUCCAAGUAUCAUAGCACAUACGACCUCAAAUCGACCUGCACAAGGAGCAGGGCUUUUAGUAAUGAAGCCGAAUAGUUUCGAAACGAGGAACUAUUUUUAUUGAUGUGACUAACAUUACAAGCAGGUUUACAUGCCAUUAAAGAUUUUCAAUAUUCACUGAUAGUACUGUCUAAAGUGUUCGGCAUUCUAGGGGUAGGGUAGAGGUCUACCCCCCGGGUCUUCUAAUUCAUAUGCUCCUUUUGGUAGGACCUUAGCUACUAGGUAGGGACCCUCCCAGUUAGGGCCCAGGGAUCCACUCCCGACCUUUUUUGUGGCGAGGAAUAUCUUCUUUAGGAUAAGAGAUCCUAUUUCGAAUUCUCAUUUUCACACUUUUUCAUUACAGUAUCUUACAUUUUGUUGUUUGUAAACGACGUUUCUGAUUUCAG